rnacentral:rRNA from 1 species
CUACGGGGGGCUCCAGUGAGGAAUAUUGGUCAAUGGGCGCGAGCCUGAACCAGCCAUCCCGCGUGCAGGAUGACGGCCCUAUGGGUUGUAAACUGCUUUUCUAUGCCAAGAAACCUGAUUACGUGUAAUCAGUUGCCGGUAGCAUAGGAAUAAGCAUCGGCUAACUCCGUGCCGGCAGCCGCGGUAAUACGGAGGAUGCAAGCGUUAUCCGGAGUCAUUGGGUUUAAAGGGUGCGCAGGUGGGCUUGUAAGUCAGUGGUGAAAUGCUGCCGCUUAACGGUAGAACUGCCAUUGAUACUGCGAGUCUUGAGUAUGGUUGAGGUAGGCGGAAUGUGUUGUGUAGCGGUGAAAUGCGUAGAUAUGACACAGAACGCCAAUUGCGAAGGCAGCUUACUAAGCCAUUACUGACGCUGAGGCACGAAAGCGUGGGGAGCGAACAGGAUUAGAUACCCGAGUAGUC